UUAAUAUAAAAAUGUAACAAUUAGGUUGUGCGGCUGCCAAAUGUUGUUUAAAUAAUAUUUAAGCAUCAUAAAUAAUUGUAACAGGCAUCAAGCUUAACUAAGACAAAUCAUAACAACUUAGUUCAGCAGUAGACCUGUGGCAUUAUUAUUUAAUGAUUAUUCUUUUGGUCUGGUUGAUAAUACAUAUUAGUUUAUUCAUGAAAAUAAUCAUGCAUGAUGGAAGUGUUUGGGAUUGUAAUAUUUUUGUACAGUCAAUAAAAAUAUUCAUACAUUUUUGCAGUUUAUUGUUAUAGCAUUAAAAAAUUACAUCUUACUUUUUAUCCUUGUGGAAUAUUAUAAUCUUAAUAUUAAAUAAUUUAUUUUUAAAUUUAGAGAACAGGCCUUUUCUACUGUAUCUAACCAAUACUAACUGGACGCACAAUUAAAACAUAUGUAUGUUAUAUGAACAUAUGUUGAGCUUAUAAAAAUAAUUCUUGCAAUCUAAAUAAAUGCAUUUAAAAAUA